UGCCCGGUGGUGUAAUGGUAACACAUCAGAUUUUGGUUCUGACUUUCAAGGUUCGAAUCCUUGCCGGGCAA
rnacentral:tRNA from 1 species